rnacentral:rRNA from 1 species
ACCAGACUCCUACGGGAGGCAGCAGUGGGGAAUAUUGCACAAUGGGGGAAACCCUGAUGCAGCGACGCCGCGUGAGCGAUGAAGUAUUUCGGUAUGUAAAGCUCUAUCAGCAGGGAAGAAAAUGACGGUACCUGACUAAGAAGCCCCGGCUAACUACGUGCCAGCAGCCGCGGUAAUACGUAGGGGGCAAGCGUUAUCCGGAUUUACUGGGUGUAAAGGGAGCGUAGACGGCAGUGCAAGUCCGGAGUGAAAGCCCGGGGCUCAACCCUGGGACUGCUCUGGAAACUGUAAAGCUGGAGUGCGGGAGGGGCAGGCGGAAUUCCUGGUGUAGCGGUGAAAUGCGUAGAUAUCAGGAGGAACACCGGCGGCGAAGGCGGCCUGCUGGACCGUAACUGACGUUGAGGCUCGAAAGCGUGGGGAGCAAACAGGAUUAGAUACCCGCGUA